CCUACGGGAGGCAGCAGUGAGGAAUAUUGGUCAAUGGACGAGAGUCUGACCCAGCCAAGUAGCGUGAAGGAUGACUGCCCUAUGGGUUGUAAACUUCUUUUAUAUGGGAAUAAACUGUUCCACGUGUGGGAUUUUGUAUGUACCAUAUGAAUAAGGAUCGGCUAACUCCGUGCCAGCAGCCGCGGUAAUACGGAGGAUCCGAGCGUUCUCCGGAUUUAUUGGGUGUAAAGGGAGCGUAGGUGGAUUGUUAAGUCAGGUGUGAAAGUUUGCGGCUAAACCGUAAAAGUGCAGUUGAACCUGGUAGUCGUGAGUACAGGAGAGGUGGGCGGAAGUCGUGGUGUAGCGGUGAAAUGCUUAGAUAUCACGAAGAACUCCGAUUGCGAAGGCAGUUCACUGGACUGCAACUGACACUGAGGCGCGAAAGUGUGGGUAUCAAACAGGAUUAGAUACCCUUGUAGUC
rnacentral:rRNA from 1 species